rnacentral:lncRNA from 1 species
AAAUAUAUGCAUUUUACAACCAACAUACUUUAAGGAUACGUCCACACGUACACUAUCUUCUAAAGACACCUAUUGGCCAUUUUCGGAGGUAAAUAAAUCUUACUUCAAAUUCUUAGCCAUUAGCUUACAAUAUAAAUUGGAAAAACAAUUCGCACCAAAUUCCUUCCUAAACGUGAACCAAAAAUGCCUUCGAUUCUCUUUUAUUUGCUCUUAAAUACCACUAAAAGCAUCUUGUAAGAAUUUUAC